AUCCCACACAGCUUUUCAAAAAAGAAAUUGAUCGAGAGUUUGAGAAAUAUUUUGAUGGCUUCUGGCUGCAAGUGUGGUGACAAUUGCUCUUGUGGAGAUAGCUGCAAUUGCCUUUCUGGGACCAUCAAAGAGGCCUCCUCCCUGAUAAACAUGAAUAAUGGCUGCGACUGCUGCGACAGCAGCUGCUCGUGCGAUGCGUGCAGCUGCUGCUAGAGACCAAGACCCCAAACAACAAAGCUGGUAAAAUCUUGUGAAAUGGAAUAAAAUUAUGAAGCAACUUGCAAAAUCUAUUUUUCCUUUUUUUUUCUCUUUUUGUUUGAAUAUGUAAUGGCUACUUGGCUUGAAAUCUAGUGUGAACUAUGAACUGCUUUGUUGUGGGAAGUUUGUGUUUAAUGAAUCUUUGGUUUGUGUAAUC